UCCGUUUUGUCAACGGCAGUCUCAACAGAGUUCCCAGCAUAACCUGAUGGCAACUAGUAGCGAGGGUUGCGCUCGUUGCGGGACUUAACCCAACAUCUCACGACACGAGCUGACGACAGCCAUGCAGCACCUGUGACGGUGCCCAAAGGGAGGAUGUGUUUCCACACCUGUCACCGACAUGUCAAGCCCAGGUAAGGUUCUUCGCGUUGCGUCGAAUUAAACCACAUGCUCCGCUGCUUGUGCGGGCCCCCGUCAAUUCCUUUGAGUUUCAGCCUUGCGGCCGUACUCCCCAGGCGGGGCACUUAAUGCGUUAGCGCCGGCACCCAGGGGGUCGCUCCCCCAGGCACCUAGUGCCCAUCGUUUACGGCGUGGACUA
rnacentral:misc_RNA from 1 species